rnacentral:tRNA from 1 species
UCCCUGGUGGCUCAGUGGUAAAGAAUCUGCCUGCCAGUGCAGGAGACACGGGUUCGAUCCCUGAUCCGGGAA